GAAGUGAGAGCCAACGGCUUAGGAAUGGGGCGCCAAGGAUAUCUGCUACAUGAAGACAAUGACUCUCACCUCCAAAGUUGAUAUAAAGAGAUCGGAGGACACCAUUGGGACUCAUUUGAGUCUGACUUUCACAUUAAUUUUGCUGUGCUGUGAAGAGUGAAGACAAAAUCAAUGUCCAUCAGUAAUUAUUCAAGGAGGAAAAGGUUCUGAAGAAAAGAAGUAAUUGCUGCAGCCACAAGUCUACAGUUACAAGUGAUUGAAGAUGGUGGCUGGGUCAGAGAAUGCUAAUCAUCCGUGAAGUGGGCUCGCCAUGACUCUGACACCGUGUCUCCUGGUGCACCCUGUGGUAGGUGCAUCUUUGCUGAAUAAAUACAAAGUGAACUUGACGGGAAAGGAGACCUCAGCAGUCCUACAAAGGCAAUUUUGCAAGCUGUCUGGCUGUGGAAUUAGUGGGAUGUUUGCUCAGGAAGAAACAGCUGACGUCAACUUUGCUCUCUUUGUAUCUCAAGGGCAGAGUUAGCCAUGCCUCUGGCCUGCGCCGACACCCGCAGAGGGAAGAAUGGCUUCCAGAGGGAAAGGUUAAAGAACAGGUCGGCUGGGCAUCCACACUCCCCGUCCCUCCCGCCCGCUGUGUGUCAUCUUUCUGGCAAGGUGAAUUCAAUGCCCAGUAAUUCCUUCUGACUUUCUAAGAGCUAUGGGACACCCAAGUGUGAGAAAAGUCAUCUCGGCACUAACAGGAUUAGCUCAGCCUCCUAACCUGAUCACUCUGGCCAGAGAGAAUAAAGAGGAAGGCAAUGGACAGGGGCAAGAAACUUAAGGAUGAAUGAGAUGUUUCCUUUAAAUACCAAGGAGAGCGUGUGUGUGUGUGUGUGUGUGUGUGUGUAUGUGUGUGUUUUGUCUAACUCACAAAGGCUGACCUCUUUUCCAUUUAAGGGGGCCAGUUAAACAUGAAAUGGGAACACGUCUUGUUUCUAUCUCCCCUAUCAGCAAUCCCAGUGCCUAGCACAAAAGGUGCUCUAAAUGCUUUGUUGAAUUAUUAAAUCAAGGCCAUUCUGAUAUUAACUUAAUAAGAGAAGCAGCAAUUAACUAACAGAAGCAGAGUGGUGUGGCAGAAUGAAGACGAGACUUGUGAACAGACACUCGGUUUGACUUUUAUUUCUAGCAUCCCAUACUGGAGGGACUUGAGGAAAUCACGUGAUCUCUCAGGAACAUUAUUGCCAUCCGGGUAAAACAAAGAGAUUGGACUAAUUUUUUUCUCUAAUGUCUGUUGGAUACCCACCUAUGAGUAGGGUCUAAUGAGGUAACUUUUAACCGUGUGUGUCUUGUAUAUC
rnacentral:lncRNA from 1 species